UACGUAGGGUGCAAGCGUUAAUCGGAAUUACUGGGCGUAAAGCGUGCGCAGGCGGUUGGGCAAGACCGAUGUGAAAUCCCCGGGCUCAACCUGGGAAUGGCAUUGGUGACUGCACGGCUAGAGUGUGUCAGAGGGGGGUAGAAUUCCACGUGUAGCAGUGAAAUGCGUAGAGAUGUGGAGGAAUACCGAUGGCGAAGGCAGCCCCCUGGGAUAACACUGACGCUCAUGCACGAAAGCGUGGGGAGCAAACAGG
rnacentral:rRNA from 1 species